UACGUAGGGUGCGAGCGUUGUCCGGAAUUACUGGGCGUAAAGAGCUCGUAGGUGGUUUGUCGCGUUGUCCGUGAAGUUCCCUGGCUUAACUGGGGGCGUGCGGGCGAUACGGGCAGACUGGAGUACUGCAGGGGAGACUGGAAUUCCUGGUGUAGCGGUGGAAUGCGUAGAGAUCCGGAAGAACACCGGUGGCGAAGGCGGCCCGCUGGGCAACUGCUGACACUGAGGCGCGACAGCGUGGGGAGCAAACAGG
rnacentral:rRNA from 1 species